GAAAGGAAAAAAAGGUUAUAGCCAGCUGAUAAAAUUUACAGGCAAGAAAACCCUUAAGACCUUGUCUUGAAAAAUAACAAAAAGGAGUAAAUUAGUAAGCAGGAGCAGAAUAGUUGGAAAAUGAAACAGUAUUAGCUUGAAGUUCCUCCUUUACAAUUUGUGUGUCUGUUCUCAUUACAAAAGGAAAAUGUGAUUUCUUCUCAUUUGUUAUUGACUCCAGUGACAACUUGAAUUCAGCCAAAGAUCAUUCAUUACUGGUACCUGAACUUGUUCAAUCUUAUAGUGACAGUAGCUGCUUAUUCUGCAGCUUCCCUCUGUCAAGAGUGCUUAAACCAUGUCUCCUGGAGGAGUGCUCAAACUACUAAAUCAGAGUGAGAAAAGUCCCCAAAACCUCUCUUUCUGAGGUCUCCCUGGAAUAGCUAGUAAUUAUUUUGGGGUGGGGAGAAAGAAAGCAAAUGGAGAACAAAUACCUAAUGUCUAACUAAAUCUCCAGUUUUGUACUUCUGGGGCACUCAGCCAUGAGAAGGAAGACCUACAUUCCCAUAAACCCUUCAGCAAAUACUUAAACAUCUGAUAGAAAUUAGGACAGUUUUAAUCAUAUAUCAUACCCACACAUAGGAGUCCAGGAAGCUUCCUAGGAUAUGGGAGGUGCAAUCUCAGGACACACAGGGCACAGGAGGGAUUUGAACCAAGAUUUCUACUUCUUUAGCAAGCAUGCUAGCUAUCAUGCAAUUUUUAAUGGCACCAGCAGUGACAUGAAUUAGCUUGCAUGUGAAAAGAUAAAGGAGCACUUCGUCUGUGAGUCCCAUGAGGGACUGAGGAUAAAGUAGAUGUCUGAAUGAAGAAUGAGUGUACAUUCCCUAAAAUAUCUCAGUAUCGUUUAAGAAUAUCAGUUGUAGUACACUGGCAGAGAUACUUUAUGCAGCUGAAGAUCAAUUAUUCAUGAUGGAAUUUCCAGAUUUAUCAGCUUCACUUCUUGGCCAUUAAAUAGCACAUACAGCUGUCUAUAAUACAUAGGGAAUAUCCUGAACUCAAUAAAGUCAAUGGAAGUUUUGCCAUGAGAGGAUUUCACCAGUUCUUAAAGAAGUUUAUAACCUGCCUCCUGCAAAGAAACAUCUGUAAUCAUCCCUUUUGGACCUCAUUCACAACACAACAAAAUCAGUGGGAAUGUUUGUAUAGAUUUAAAUAGACUUUUUUAGUCAGGCUUUUGUGGGAUGAUUCCAAGGGUGAUUCACAUUAUACUUAUGUGAAUUCACAGACAUGCGUUGAUGACCAUGUCUUCAAGUACAUCUGUGCACAUGUUUGUUAGAUUACAGAUCUAACUUGGCAUCUUCAGCCCCUAAUCAAAAAAGUUUAAUUUUUUAGAAAAGGAAAUGGUCAGAGCCAUCAUUCUUUAUUAAUACCAUAUAUUUGAGCUUGUAAAUGCAAUAUACUACACACACAUCCACUACAUAAUCUGAAAAGCCUGUAUUGAAAAGCAUUUAAUAAUUUAUGUAAAUUUUAAAGAGUGCAAACAGCUUAUGGCAGACUACUUAUCUAGUGAAAUUAGGACAACAUAUAGAACUUCAAAUAAAUAUUGUGAUAAAAGUAGUAUUUUGCAAUGUAACUUCAGUAAAUCACACCGCUAAAGCAUGUAAACUAUGAAAACCACUAUGAUUGUGAUCCUCUCUCUAGUGCUGAUCAUUUGUUUAAUAACAGGCUUUCUAGUAAAAUGUUUGCAUUACUAAAAAAGGCACUAGUUUCUCAAAUGUACUGAAACACAUUCAUUAGUUGAUUAUGAAGCAAUAUAAUUGGUAAUUAAAUCUGAUCUACAGAUGACUCUGAAAAUUAAUCAAGUUUACUUUGUGAAGAUUUAGCCAUCUUAUUGCACUCUUGUAAUGCUAAGCCCCAAACUGUGGUCCAUUCCUUUCGGGUUUGGACUCCACUUCAUCAGGCAUGACGAGAAAUGACAGCAGACACAAUCCACAAAGCUGUCCAUCUUCCAGGUCUACGACCUGAUUAAUAAAGGACAAUACCUCUUCCUCUGCUCUGAUCCUCUUUUAGAUCAAUGUGUCCUAAGACUACUGUAGUUACAUCAAUAUUAUUAACUCAGCAGUGAUAUUACUGUAAUUUGUAGUAGGUCCCCUGGGGGAUUUACUGAUCUGAGUGAGCUUCUUCAUUGCCUUCACUCCUGUAUGAAACAGAAUCUGUCUGGUAGGAGAACAGCCUCCUGGUGAGGCUUUUACCUCUUGGGAGGUGAGCACUCUGCUUUGCUGUAAGGACUCGAAAUUCGUAUGUGGGUCAGUGGCCCCAAGGACCCUCAGAAGACAAUUUCUCACCUACCAACAGUUCAACAAGUAGUGAGGGGAGAUAGGAAUACCUAAAGGAUUCAUUUUGGAGAAGCCACUGACUAAAUCCUAAGGCAUAUGGAUUUCUAUAGGAUUAUUCAAGCCAAAAGGAGUGGAAUUUCCUCCCACAGCUGCGGUGCUUUGAGGAGCCAUUAACUACAACCUAAACCAAACUCAGCUGCAGUGAAGCAAGCAGUAAGCCUACAAACAGCUCUGGAGGGAAGGCUGCUGGCGUGACCACCUGUUCAGUUCAAGAUAGUCCCAACAGCUCUCAUGUACUGUUGGGUUCUUGACUACGCAAAUGUUAUGAAGAUCACCUGGGGAAAACAGAAGAUUUCCAUGUAUAUAAACAGCUAUAGCUGGCUGAUUACUUCAGUCUCUAUGCAGGGAAGGCUGAGAUUAAUUCUCUCUUUGCACCAUUUUCCUGUCAAAUUUGACAAUGUGCUUUGCUUCUGAGAAGUCUGAGAUUACAGAGUAAAAUGUAAAAUUAAGAUGUAUUUUUUUUCUCAAAAUUUUCAGAAAUCCAGAUCUUCUCAGCAGAGCUCUGUUUUGGAGACUCAAGGCACCAGGUGGAAGCUAUUUCCUUUAGUACUAUGUAUGACAAUGAACACUGGACUAUGUGUAAAUAUCACUAUUCACAUAAUUAAUUUUGUAUUUUAUUUGAAAGGAAAUAAAGCUAUUAAUGUAGCA